rnacentral:tRNA from 1 species
GAGAGAUGGCAGAGUGGUCGAUUGCGACGGUCUUGAAAACCGCUGUUCUGCAAGGAACCGGGGGUUCGAAUCCCUCUCUCUCC